CAGCAGCCGCGGUAAUGCGAAGGGGGCUAGCGUUGUUCGGAAUCACUGGGCGUAAGGGGUGCGUAGGCGGGAUCUUAAGUCAGGGGUGAAAUCCCGAGGCUCAACCUCGGAACUGCCUUUGAUACUGGGGUCCUUGAGUCCGGAAGAGGCGAGUGGAACUGCGAGUGUAGAGGUGAAAUUCGUAGAUAUUCGCAAGAACACCGGUGGCGAAGGCGGCUCACUGGUCCGGAACUGACGCUGAGGCACGACAGCGUGGGGAGCAAACAGGAUUAGAUACCCCAGUAGUCCCUGUCUCUUAUAC
rnacentral:rRNA from 1 species